GUUCUCCCAUGAAGAGUGGCCUUCUUCAGAGAAGGUGUGUCCAGCCAUCUGUUCGCAAGGGACACUGUCAACUUGAAAUCUUUUUGUUGUUAUUGUUGCCUUAUUUCAGUUUCAAAAACUUCAAAUUUUCCAAAUCUGGCAGCAGACGCAGACUAACAAAUUCGUGUCUGUCAGCCCACUAUUCCCCAACGAGAUGCCUGUGAGCAUGCUGAUUAUACAUAUGCAACUAAUUAGUGCCAUGGUUAGUAUAAGUUAAUGGAUUGAUUUACUUCCAGAUCCAGUUAAGUGGCAACCUCAUGCACACGGAGUAGCAGACACUGCCCCAUGAUUUCCCACUGAGUCUUGCCAGCCAAGCUGGUGACGCCAGACUUCCCAUCUCCUAAUCACAGAUUGCCUCCUAAAAGGUGCGAAGGGGGGAAGCUGUUUCAACAUGGGGGAGAAAACAUAGCACUCUUUUUUGAUGGAAGGGAUGGCUGUUCCUUACUGUAAAACCCAUACCCAUUUUGCUGCUUUGUUUCCUUUUCAUGAAGUGCUAAAGGCCGCUGGCACUGUUUUAAUGGCCCGUCUGGUUGAACAUAAGCAGCAAACUUUUGGCAGAGUGUAAAAGCCAACUCUUCAUCUAUAAAGCCCCGUAUAUCUGUGGUGCCAAAUAUCUUUCACACUAGUCCUCCUUACUUCCGCCUAAUGAUAAGUGAGGCCCUUGCACUGGCUAUGGCCAAAGAGGCCUGGUCAAGUCCAAGAGUAGCAGCUGCCUUGUUGUGAGGUGACAAGGUUUGGGCAGAGGAAACAUCAUCAGCGAGGACAAUGUCUCUACUGUUCCUGGCAUUCACUGGAAAGGAAGGAAAGACAUCAGUGAUGUAAACUACGCAGAUAGACAGACCUGCUACAAGCACUGGCAUCCCACAUACAGCAAUUCUCCUUCUACAGAAAAGGUCCUGUUCUCACUGGCACAAAUCUCCUGGCUGCAGGUUUUCAUUCCCCUUUGAAAAUCUACAAUAUUUCAGUCCUGGAAUAGUUAGCAAAGGAGAGAGGGAGCAAGAAUGUCCAUUCUCAAUCAAUUUUGAUCACACUGAAAAAUUUGUGUAUGACAGUCACAUAAAAGUCAUAUUUCAAUGAAAGUAUCAUGAACCAGGUGGAAAUAAAUCAAUCUAUCUCCAUAAACCUGACAAAGUUACCUGUACAGAGCAUCUAGGAGUUCCAGAGACAAGAAGAGGCUCACUCUAUCUUGAAAGCUCUGCAGUGCUAAUUACAGGCUGGAUUAUGAAAAUUGUAUACUUUAAA